UUUUAUCCGUAGCAUCCGAACGCCAGAAUUUUUUUUCAGACGACGAAACUAUUUGGCAAUCGAAAGAUGCAUUAAGCGGACUGGCCGUUCAGCACCUCGUUCAAGUCCCUAACCAGAUUUGACAUGGAAAUUUCCCUUUCUAAUUCGCACUUCUUCUUUGAUUGAAAACAGUGUUAAGUUUUCCCUCCCAAAAAUACAUUGACCUUCCAUAUCUGGCAACAUCCUGGUAAAUCUCUUCAGAAU